GAUGAAGAACGUAGCGAAAUGCGAUAAGUAAUGUGAAUUGCAGAAUUCAGUGAAUCAUCGAAUCUUUGAACGCACAUUGCGCCCGCCAGCACUCUGGCGGGCAUGCCUGUUCGAGCGUCAUUUCAACCAUCAAGCCCCCAGGGGCUUGUGCUGGGGCCCUGCGGCUGCCCGCAGGCCCUGAAAACCAGUGGCGGGCUCGCUAGUCACACCGAGCGCAGUAGCACAUCUCGCUCAGGGCGUGCGGCGGGCUCCUGCCGUGAAACCCCCCACUGUAACCCCAAAGGUUGACCUCGGAUCAGGUAGGAAUACCCACUGAACUUAAGCAUAUCAAUAAGCGGAGGA
rnacentral:misc_RNA from 1 species